GACGAACGCUGGCGGCGUGCUUAACACAUGCAAGUCGAACGGUAAGGCCCUUCGGGGUACGCGAGUGGCGAACGGGUGAGUAACACGUGGGUGAUCUGCCCUGCACUUCGGGAUAAGCCUGGGAAACUGGGUCUAAUACCGGAUAGGACUCCUGGCUUCAUGGUUGGGGGUGGAAAGCUUUUGCGGUGUGGGAUGGGCCCGCGGCCUAUCAGCUUGUUGGUGGGGUAAUGGCCUACCAAGGCGACGACGGGUAGCCGGCCUGAGAGGGUGACCGGUCACACUGGGACUGAGAUACGGCCCAGACUCCUACGGGAGGCAGCAGUGGGGAAUAUUGCACAAUGGGCGCAAGCCUGAUGCAGCGACGCCGCGUGAGGGAUGGCGGCCUUCGGGUUGUAAACCUCUUUCAGCUAUGACGAAGCGCAAGUGACGGUAGUAGAAGAAGAAGGACCGGCCAACUACGUGCCAGCCGCCGCGGUAA
rnacentral:rRNA from 1 species